GACGAACGCUGGCGGCGUGCUUAACACAUGCAAGUCGAACGGAAAGGCCCUGCUUGCAGGGUACUCGAGUGGCGAACGGGUGAGUAACACGUGGGUGAUCUGCCCUGCACUUCGGGAUAAGCCUGGGAAACUGGGUCUAAUACCGGAUAGGAGCCAUUUUUAGUGUGAUGGUUGGAAAGUUUUUUCGGUGUAGGAUGAGCUCGCGGCCUAUCAGCUUGUUGGUGGGGUAAUGGCCUACCAAGGCGGCGACGGGUAGCCGGCCUGAGAGGGUGGACGGCCACAUUGGGGCUGGGAUACGGCCCAGACUCCUACCGGAGGCAGCAGUGGGGAAUAUUGCACAAUGGGGGCGAGCCUGAUGCAGGGACGCCGCGUGGGGGAUGACGGCCUUCGGGUUGUAAACUCCUUUCGCUAGGGACGAAGCUUUUUGUGACGGUACCUAGAUAAGAAGCACCGGCUAACUACGUG
rnacentral:rRNA from 1 species